GGCACUGUAGCUCAGUCGGUAGAGCACCUGCUUAACACCAUCGUGGCCAUUUCACAAUGUUCAUCAUAUGAAGUCCGCAGGUUGUCGUCGGUUCGAGCCCGGCCAGAGUCA
rfam:Puccinia graminis f. sp. tritici CRL 75-36-700-3 supercont2.15 genomic scaffold, whole genome shotgun sequence.